UCCAACAUGAAGCUCAGUAUCUCAUGCAUCACUGCAACUGCCCUCUUAUCAAACUCUGGUGAUCCAGGAGUCAAUCCCUUUGCCUCUGCAUAAGGGGACAGGUAGGUGACCUUCUGAAACUGCUCGGUAUUGCCAGUUUUCACAUAAUGAUGAGCUUUUCCUCGAAAUCUGUAGUGACUAGUAAAAUUUGGUGGGAAUUUCAUCGGGAACGGAAGCGAGAGAUCUCCUGGUGGACUGGCAUUGGCAUCGCCAGUCGACACAGACGCCUUCUUCUCAAGCUCAGUGACUGCCC
rnacentral:lncRNA from 1 species